rnacentral:rRNA from 1 species
UUGCCUGGUAGUCCACGCUGUAAACGAUGUCGACUUGGAGGUUGUUCCCUUGAGGAGUGGCUUCCGGAGCUAACGCGUUAAGUCGACCGCCUGGGGAGUACGGCCGCAAGGUUAAAACUCAAAUGAAUUGACGGGGGCCCGCACAAGCGGUGGAGCAUGUGGUUUAAUUCGAUGCAACGCGAAGAACCUUACCUACUCUUGACAUCCAGAGAACUUAGCAGAGAUGCUUUGGUGCCUUCGGGAACUCUGAGACAGGUGCUGCAUGGCUGUCGUCAGCUCGUGUUGUGAAAUGUUGGGUUAAGUCCCGCAACGAGCGCAACCCUUAUCCUUUGUUGCCAGCGAUUCGGUCGGGAACUCAAAGGAGACUGCCAGUGAUAAACUGGAGGAAGGUGGGGAUGACGUCAAGUCAUCAUGGCCCUUACGAGUAGGGCUACACACGUGCUACAAUGGCAUAUACAAAGAGAAGCGACCUCGCGAGAGCAAGCGGACCUCAUAAAGUAUGUCGUAGUCCGGAUUGGAGUCUGCAACUCGACUCCAUGAAGUCGGAAUCGCUAGUAAUCGUGGAUCAGAAUGCCACGGUGAAUACGUUCCCGGGCCUUGUACACACCGCCCGUCACACCAUGGGAGUGGGUUGCAAAAGAAGUAGGUAGCUUAACCUUCGGAGGGCGCUA